UACGGGGGGAGCAAGCGUUGUUCGGAUUUACUGGGCGUAAAGGGCGCGUAGGCGGUCAGCACAAGUCAGUUGUGAAAUCUCCGGGCUUAACUCGGAAAGGUCAACUGAUACUGUGCGACUAGAGUGCAGAAGGGGCAACUGGAAUUCUCGGUGUAGCGGUGAAAUGCGUAGAUAUCGAGAGGAACACCGGUGGCGAAGGCGGCUUCUGG
rnacentral:rRNA from 1 species